rnacentral:sRNA from 1 species
CAUUUUGCAUGCCUCGCAUAUUGUUUAUUAUAUUUGUUUGUGUAUGAAAUACUGAUGAGCCUUAUGGCUCAAAGUUGAAAUAAAUAAAUGUCCUUUGUGAAGGGUCAACCUGUAAAUAUUAUCUUAGUAUUUAUGUUAUUACUAUGUUUCUCUUUUUAUUUUACAUUCUGAUUAUGUAAUGAGAAUCAAGUCUUGGAAUAUAAUGGAUGAUUAUUCGCUCCACGUAUCAAUUUAUUGAAUAUCAAAGUUUACUGGUAUGUUUUUAAAAUACGCACAGGAUUUGUAUGCAAGAGCAAUGGUGUUUUAAUAUUUUUUUAAAGAAUUUUAAGAAAUCUAAGAAAAUGCCAUUACUUUAAAUUUUACGUUUUUGACCUAUUUUUUGUCGUUAUAGUAUAUUUUGCUUGAAUUGUUUGUAUACAUUCAUAUGUUAACGUUUUUCAUUACAUCUUUAGCAAACUUUGGAUCCAUUGUAGGGUCUGUUUGUGAAAUAGGACAUGUACAUACAAACUCUUAGUUUAACUUAUUUCAAUUAUUUAUUGGGAAGCAAUCUGUAUGAUAUAAACAUGUGUGAUAAAUAUAUUAUUUUGGAUGAAGUUAUGAUUCAAAAUAAAAUGAAAUCUGAUAUACC